rnacentral:rRNA from 1 species
GGAAUAUUGGUCAAUGGUCGGAAGACUGAACCAGCCAUGCCGCGUGAGGGAGGAAGGCCCUAGUUGGUUGUAAACCUCUUUUACGGGGGAGCAAUAAGGCGGACGCGUCCGCCGAUGAGAGUACCCCGGGAAUAAGCAUCGGCUAACUCCGUGCCAGCAGCCGCGGUAAUACGGAGGAUGCGAGCGUUAUCCGGAUUUAUUGGGUUUAAAGGGUGCGUAGGCGGAUCGGUAAGUCAGCGGUGAAAUGUCCCGGCUCAACCGGGUCACUGCCGUUGAUACUGCCGGACUGGAGUACAAACGGCGCAGGCGGAAUGUGUCAUGUAGCGGUGAAAUGCAUAGAUAUGACACAGAACACCGUUCGCGAAGGCGGCUUGCGAGCAUGGUACUGACGCUGAGGCACGAAGGCGUGGGGAUCGAACA